GUGCUCCCCCGCCAAUUCCUUUAAGUUUCAGCCUUGCGGCCGUACUUCCCAGGUGGCAGGCUUAAUGGCUUCCCUGCGGCACUGGGACAGCUCGUAGCCGUCCCAACACCUAGCCUGCAUCGUUUACAGCUGGGACUACCGGGGUAUCUAAUCCCGUUCGCUCCCCCAGCUUUCGUCCCUCACCGUCGGGCGCGUUUUAGUCGGCCGCCUUCGCCACUGGUGGUCCUCCCGGGAUUAUAGGAUUUCGCCCCUACCCCGGGACUACCGCCGACCUCCCUCGCCCCCAAGCCGAAGAGUAUUCCCCGCAGCCCAACGAUUGGAUCGCCAGAUUUAACGGGGAACUUUUCCGGCCGGCUACGGACGCUUCAGACCCAAUAAUCGUCCCAACCACUCGGGGAGCUGGUAUUACCGCGGCGGCUGACACCAGACUUGCCCUCCCCUUAUUCACCUGGCUAGUUAAACCGGGCAAAAGCCAUCCUCAGCGGACGGCACUCGGAGUGACCUCGUCACGCUUUCGCGCAUUGCGAAGUUGUCGCGCCUGCUGCACCCCGU
rnacentral:rRNA from 1 species